GUUUUAAUAGUUUAAAAAAAAACAAUAGUUUUGUAAACUAUUAUUAGGAUAUAAUCCUUUAAAACU
rnacentral:tRNA from 1 species